rnacentral:rRNA from 1 species
ACGAAGGGGGCUAGCGUUGCUCGGAAUUACUGGGCGUAAAGGGAGCGUAGGCGGACAUUUAAGUCAGGGGUGAAAUCCCGGGGCUCAACCUCGGAAUUGCCUUUGAUACUGGGUGUCUUGAGUAUGAGAGAGGUGUGUGGAACUCCGAGUGUAGAGGUGAAAUGCGUAUAUAUGCGGAAGAGCGCCGAUGGCGAAGGCGACACACUGGAUCAUUACCGACUCUGAGGCUCGAAAGCGUGGGCAGCAUACAU